CAGGCAAUCGCGCGAUAUCAGGCCGAAAGGUAUUAUCGUGAGGAAAGUCCGGGCUUCACAGGGAAGGAUAACGGAUAACAUCCGCCGAAGGCGACUUCCGGGAGAGUGCAACAGAGAGAUACCGCCGGAGCGGUUUCCGCUCCGGUAAGGGUGGAAAGGCGAGGUAAGAGCUCACCGACAUACCGGGUAACCGGCGUGUCCUGUAAACCCUAUCCGAAGCAACACCCGCGCGGGAAAUCCCUGUAUCGGGCCGCAAGGUCCGCCGCGCCGGUGGCACGUACCGGACGAGAGGACGGUACGGAGCUUUGUGGAGACAUAAAGCAAAGAUAGAUGAUUGCCCACGACAGAACCCGGCUUACAGCCGA
rnacentral:RNase_P_RNA from 1 species